UAAUGGAAAAGGAAGAGAGGCAUCACAUUUUGAUCAAAGCGUAGGCUUCCAUAAAUUUCCGCCGGAUUUGAAGUUGCAAAAAGUUUGGAGGGAAUUCGUUGGCGUAGACGUCUCCAAGUUUUGCUAGCGGGGAAAAUAUAUCUACCCGGAACACUUCUUGCACUCGAGCUGAUCGAGGAAAACGGUACGACGAAACUACUAGACGGAGCAACCAGAGCAAAUACCGAUCCACACAUAACCCAACAGCAGCAACAGGGUACCAUGGUCAUCAUCCAGCAUCAGAACGCGAUGGUAGUGAAUCAACAGUUAGCACAACAGCAAGGUAGCUUGGAAAGGACUUUCUGUCGAAAAAAAACAUAAUGAAAGCGCACAUGUUCAAACGAGGCAAACGUAUGACUCGUUUGGAAAAAGCGCAUGUCAUCUGUUUCAUGGCGUGUAAUCGGGACAACCCUCGAACUAAUCCGGAAAAUGUUACCGUUAAGCUGAUCGAGAGCCAGGUAAUGUCGCAAACCAGUUCAAUAUUGAUCAACCUGACCAAUAAAUCGUACUGAUUUUCGCUCCUUCGCGUAGAAAAUGGUUCUGCAGGCAGAUGACACGUAUACGUUGCGUCUGCCCCAGUCGUUCUUUAUUUUGUUUUCGGAAGAAUUUUGUUUAGUGUUCCGGUGCAUGGUAAAUGAAGCCUCUGAAU